CAGCCGUAAACUAUGCGCGUUAGGUGUAUCGGUGACCACGAGUUACCGAGGUGCCGAAGGGAAACCGUGAAACGUGCCGCCUGGGAAGUACGGUCGCAAGGCUGAAACUUAAAGGAAUUGGCGGGGAGCACCGCAACGGGAGGAGCGUGCGGUUUAAUUGGAUUCAACACCGUAAAACUCACCAGGGAAGACUGUUACAUGAAGGCCGAGAUGAAGACUCUGCUAGAUUUUCAGAGAGGAGGUGCAUGGCGUCAGUGACU
rnacentral:rRNA from 1 species